AUGCAGAGAACUUCCUAGAGAUGGAUUGGUGCCUUCGGGAACUCUGACACAGGUGCUGCAUGGCUGUGUCAGCUCGUGUCGUGAGAUGUUGGGUUAAGUCCGUAACGAGCGCAACCCUUGUCCUUAGUUACCAGCACGUUAUGGUGGGCACUCUAAGGAGACUGCCGGUGACAAACCGGAGGAAGGUGGGGAUGACGUCAAGUCAUCAUGGCCCUUACGGCCUGGGCUACACACGUGCUACAAUGGUCGGUACAAAGGGUUGCCAAGCCGCGAGGUGGAGCUAAUCCCAUAAAACCGAUCGUAGUCCGGAUCGCAGUCUGCAACUCGACUGCGUGAAGUCGGAAUCGCUAGUAAUCGUGAAUCAGAAUGUCACGGUGAAUACGUUCCCGGGCCUU
rnacentral:rRNA from 1 species